ensembl:lncRNA
CAGUGUGUGAGACAGUAGGAGACAGUCUGUGGGACAGUGUGUGAGACAGUAGGAGACAGUAGGAGACAGUCUGUGGGACAGUGUGAGACAGUCUGAGACAGUCCGUGGGACAGUAGGAGACAGUCUGUGGGACAGUGUGUGAGACAGUAGGAGACAGUCUGUGGGACAGUGUGUGAGACAGUAGGAGACAGUGUGUGAGACAGUAGGAGACAGUCUGUGGGACAGUGUGUGAGACAGUAGGAGACAGUCUGUGGGACAGUAGGAGACAGUCUGUGGGACAGUGUGUGAGACAGUAGGAGACAGUCUGUGGGACAGUGUGUGAGACAGUAGGAGACAGUGUG